UGACCAUGAAUACGUAGAGUUUGAUCAUGGCUCAGAUUGAACGCUGGCGGCAUGCUUUACACAUGCAAGUCGAGCGGCAGCGCGGGGGCAACCCUGGCGGCGAGCGGCGAACGGGUGAGUAACGCAUCGGAACGUAUCCCGUAGAGGGGGAUAGCCCGGCGAAAGCCGGAUUAAUACCGCAUAUGCUCUACGGAGGAAAGCGGGGGACCUGUGAGGGCCUCGCGCUAUGGGAGCGGCCGAUGGCCGAUUAGCUAGUUGGUGGGGUAAAGGCCUACCAAGGCGACGAUCGGUAGCUGGUCUGAGAGGAUGAUCAGCCACACUGGGACUGAGACACGGCCCAGACUCCUACGGGAGGCAGCAGUGGGGAAUUUUGGACAAUGGGGGCAACCCUGAUCCAGCAAUGCCGCGUGUGUGAAGAAGGCCUUCGGGUUGUAAAGCACUUUUAUCGGGAAAGAAACGCGCGAGGCUAAUACUCUCGCGAACUGACGGUACCCGAUGAAUAAGCACCGGCUAACUCCGUGCCAGCAGCCGCGGUA
rnacentral:rRNA from 1 species